rnacentral:rRNA from 1 species
UAGGGAAUCUUCCACAAUGGGCGCAGCCUGAUGGAGCAACACCGCGUGAGUGAAGAAGGGUUUCGGCUCGUAAAGCUCUGUUGUUAAAGAAGAACACGUAUGAGAGUAACUGUUCAUACGUUGACGGUAUUUAACCAGAAAGUCACGGCUAACUACGUGCCAC